rnacentral:rRNA from 1 species
CAGUCGCCGCGGUAAAACGAAGGGUGCAAGCGUUAAUCGGAAUUACUGGGCGUAAAGCGUGCGUAGGCGGUGAGUUAAGUCUGCUGUGAAAUCCCCGGGCUCAACCUGGGAAUGGCAGUGGAUACUGGCUCGCUAGAGUGUGUCAGAGGAUGGUGGAAUUCCCGGUGUAGCGGUGAAAUGCGUAGAGAUCGGGAGGAACAUCAGUGGCGAAGGCGGCCAUCUGGGACAACACUGACGCUCAUGCACGAAAGCGUGGGGAGCAAACAGGAUUAGAGACCCGCGUAGUCCCUGUCUCUUAUAC